rnacentral:rRNA from 1 species
UACGGAGGGUGCGAGCGUUGUCCGGAAUCACUGGGCGUAAAGAGCUCGUAGGCGGCUCGUUGCGUCGGCUGUGAAAACCCGCAGCUCAACUGUGGGCUUGCAGCCGAUACGGGCGGGCUGGGAUUCGGUAGGGGAGACUGGAAUUCCUGGUGUAGCGGUGAAAUGCGCAGAUAUCAGGAGGAACACCGGUGGCGAAGGUGGGUCUCUGGGCCGAUAUCGACGCUGAGGAGCGAAAGCGUGGGGAGCGAACAGG